UACGGAGGGUGCAAGCGUUAAUCGGAAUUACUGGGCGUAAAGCGCACGUAGGUGGUUUGUUAAGCCAGCUGUGAAAUCCCCGGGCUCAACCUGGGCACUGCAGUUGGAACUGGCAAGCUAGAGUAGGGUAGAGGGGUGUGGAAUUCCAGGUGUAGCGGUGAAAUGCGUAGAUAUCUGGAGGAACACCGGUGGCGAAGGCGGCAUCCUGGACCAACACUGACACUGAGGAGCGAAAGCCAGGGGAGCAAACGGG
rnacentral:rRNA from 1 species